rnacentral:rRNA from 1 species
UCAGGAUGAACGCUAGCUACAGGCUUAACACAUGCAAGUCGAGGGGCAGCAUGUCGUGGCUGCCACCGGCGAUGGCGACCGGCGCACGGGUGAGUAACGCGUAUCCAACCUGCCCGCAACCGCGGAAUAGCCCGCCGAAAGGCGGAUUAAUGCCGCAUGAGCUCGCGCGAGGGCAUCUGAUCGCGAGCAAAGGUUGAUUCCGGUGCGGAUGGGGAUGCGUCCGAUUAGGCAGCAGGCGGGGCGACGGCCCACCUGGCCCGCGAUCGGUAGGGGUUCUGAGAGGAAGGUCCCCCACAUUGGAACUGAGACACGGUCCAAACUCCUACGGGAGGCAGCAGUGAGGAAUAUUGGUUAAUGGGCGGAAGCCUGAACCAGCCAAGUAGCGUGAGGGAUGACUGCCCUAUGGGUUGUAAACCUCUUUUGCGCGGGGAUAACACGGGGCGCGCGCCGCCCCUCUGCAGGUACCGCGCGAAUAAGGACCGGCUAAUUCCGUGCCAGCCGCUGC